AACGAACGCUGGCGGCAUGCCUAACACAUGCAAGUCGAACGAGACCUUCGGGUCUAGUGGCUCACGGGUGCGUAACGCGUGGGAACCUGCCCUUAGGUUCGGAAUAACUCCCCGAAAGGGGUGCUAAUACCGGGUAAUGUCUUCGGACCAAAGAUUUAUCGCCUUUGGAUGGGCCCGCGUUGGAUUAGCUAGUUGGUAGGGUAAAAGCCUACCAAGGCGACGAUCCAUAGCUGGUCUGAGAGGAUGAUCAGCCACACUGGGACGGAGACACGGCCCAGACUCCUACGGGAGGCAGCAGUGGGGAAUAUUGGACAAUGGGCGAAAGCCUGAUCCAGCAAUGCCGCGUGAGUGAUGAAGGCCUUAGGGUUGUAAAGCUCUUUUACACGGGAUGAUAAUGACAGUACCGGGAGAAUAAGCUCCGGCUAACUCCGUG
rnacentral:rRNA from 1 species